UAUAUCAUUUGCAUUGUGUGCGUAAUAUUCCACAAGAGUAUAUAAUGAAACGAUGGACAAAGGCUGCCAUGUGUAGUCAUGGUAUUGAAGAACCUACUUUGAGGACAAAUGUUGUGGCUACUAGUGUUUGGAGGUCACAAACAAUCAGAAAGUUUGUUAAGUUGAUAACAAGUUGUCAGAAUUCUUUGAAUGCAAGGGCAGAGGUUGAGUGUUAUUUCAAUCUGUUAAAAGAAAAGGUUGACAGUGUAUCAGGUGUAAUUGACUUUAGUGAACCUGUUAAAGAGGUUGAAAUUGUUGAUCUUGAGAUCAAGAAUCCUCCAAAAGCUAGGCCUAAAGGUGAGAGGAAUGUAAGGCCUAAGAGUACCUUGGAGAAGCAGUGUAACAAGGCAAAGGGUAAUUUCAAGAGGAAAAAGUCUCUGUACACUCCUUACAAAAGGGGUAUAGGGCAAGCAGUUGUACAAGUAUAUGAUCAUUUCAUAUUUUCAAAUUGAUCAUUUCAGUUUUCGUAAAUGAUCAUUUAUGUUUUUUUUAAAAAAAUAGGAACUUGAUGAGAACGGUUGUGCUGUUACUUAUGCUAAUUCUAUUAGUGAUCCCAUUAAAUUGAUUGUUUUGAGCAAUAAACGGGCUCAGGUAAAUUCAAAUGUGCCAAAAAAACAUUUUAUUUAUAUUUUAUUAAUAUUGAUUUUUAUAAUUUAAAAAUAUAGAUCGGCUUAAAAUCAGCUGUUGUAGAAGAAAUUCCUUCUAGUUCUAAGGAAUCAAAUCAUAGUAUUUCCAAUGAUUUUGAUCAGGCUACUGGUGAAAGCUCUCUUUCAUCUAUCAUAUCUAUUGAUGUUGAUAUUUCAUCUAUUGCUAAGGUUUUUUUUCCAUAUUUGUUUGUAUAAGUGUUUGUAACUGAUCAUAUACUGGUUUAUUAAUGAUCAAUUUAAUUUUUUUUAAAGGCGAAGGAUUUAAAUCUUGAAGGUGUUUCUGCUGUUCAACCUCGUUCUAAUGUUGGUGCAAAUAAAGGUGCUUCUGGUGUUAAAACUUACUCUCAAAUUAAUCCAAGAGUUCCAAUUCAUACUAGUGCGUCAACAAAAUCUCCGGUUGUUAUUCAACCUACUGUUCCCAGGAAUGUUCAAAAUCAAACUCAGAAUUGUUCAAACACCAAUCCAGAAAUGAUCAUAUCCAACUCCAGGAAUGUUCAAUCAACAAAUGUUCAAGUUAUUUCUCCUACGAUUCAAAUAAAUGAUCAAGGAUUUUGUGUUCAGAAUGUUCAAGUUACUCCUCCCACAGUCAAAGAAAUGAUCAAGGUGCUCGUGUUCCAAUUCUUCAAUCAAGAAAUGUUCAAUUAUGUUCUAAAAAGAUUUCUUCUAAGUAUGAUAGGUUGUUAGCCUUUUUUGAUACAAGUGUAGCUAAACGUUUGGCUAAUAAAGAUAAAUAAUUAGUAUUCCAGAACUUUAUAAA